AGACAUGUCUCCAAACAUGAAAUAUACAGUCACCAACACCACCGACCCUCUGGCUCUCAGCCUGACUGCAAAGUCCAGCUGAGGCCAGCAGACAUCCCAUGAGCUAUGCUGUAUGGCAGCCCCUGUGUCGCUGGUAAGCAGCAGUGUCACAAUGCAAGCCAGCAGUACUCAGCCUGGCAGAUUGCUAGAAUCAGUGGGGACACACUGACCCAUGAACACUCCCAGUUCUGAGCCAGGCAGUGACCUGAAUGGGCAGACGAGUGAAGAAAGCAAAGUCCACAGUUCAGACAAGAUCCAGCCAUCCCCAAGCAGGGAAGUGGCCCCAUCUCUGGCCGGUGCCCUCGGGAUCACCUGGCUUAAGAAUAAAGAGGCUUCAGGCACAGCUGGUGGGAACAGACUUGGAAUUGCUUUUUAAGACAUUCAGGGCAGGACACACAGGCAGAACUCUUUGGGCUACAUGCUUGGAACAAUCAACAGGAGUGGUUUAAAAUCACAGUCCAGGACCUCCCCCCACCAGCUUGGACCUGGAUGCCAGGCAGACCAGCUUCAUUCUCCCUGGGACCACGGUGGGGGCGAGUCUCUUGUUGGUGCUCCACAAUCCAGGAAAGGUUACAGAGUGGAAACGAUCAGCCCGUCGACACUGCUCGUCCCAGACGUGGUCCUGGCAUCCCUCUCCUGUGUCCCACACCAGGUGUUCCAGCACACAGCCCCUCUGCACCUCGGCUUCACCCUCUGUGACACCGGGACUCUGACAGCGACAGCCUGAGCCUGUGACAAUGACGAGGAUUCACGCCUGUAUGCUCAGCCUUGCCUCUUCCGUCAUUUCCGCACAGCCCGGACCCUACGCUGUCGGUGUGGGGGGGUCCUUGCACCUUGGGAGUCGAAGGCCAGAGCAGUUGCCAUAGUUUACUCCAAGGCGCUGCCUCUACAUGGGGUGUGGAGAUAAGGACGCCCCACAGGUCCAGGGCAGAGGCGUGGAGCCGGGCCGCCGCCCGCUGACCGCACACGUGCUGGACACUGCCUCAGCUCUCCCAGCCCUGGGACUCUGCCUCUGUCCAGACAGGAGGACCCUGGCCAGCAGUGGACCGAGCUGAAGAAAAGGACAGUGAGGCAAUAUAGCCCUGGUCCUGGACACUGCCCUGCUGCAGAGACGUCCAGGCCCUGCUCACCCAGAUCCGACUCAGGCCACUGGGCACACAGACCCAGGAGGCCCAGGCCAGGAUGGCUCUGCAGCGCCCCCGCCUCUCCCCAGUCGCAAAGACCCACCCGGAUUGUCCCUGCCCUGGGCUCCUGCCGCCAGGCCAGGUGAAGGCAGGCACCUACAAGCUGUCCUUCAACCCUGAGGGCUACUGGAAGAAGAGUGGCCAGGAGAGCUUCUACCCAUAUGUGGAGGAGGGCUAGACGGGUGGAGGCCAGUGAUGCACUGUGACCCGCAGGCCUGUCCUACCCCAACCCCUACCACUGAGCACCUGCUCUGAGCUCCCUUGACCACAACACACCCAUGCCACCUCACCCCAUGAGAAAUUAGUCCGCUGGGGGCUGUGUGUGUGAUGCUUUAGGGGGAAGAAAUAGUGAGAAACAAGUCCAUGGGUGUUUUUGUUAAUUUUAAUAUAUAUAUUAAAUAUAUACUCCCAUAUUUGACAGAGUAUAGUUGACUUUGAAUGUUUCAUGUGCACAGCAAUUUGACUCUGUGAUCCAUAUACACACACAUUAUUUUUGAAAUGAUUAUCCAUUCCAUGGUAUUACAACAUAGUGACCAUAGUUCCCCUGUGUUAUAUGUAAACCUUUGCUGUUUGUUGCAUAUCUUUCUUUUUUAAUUAAAAAUGUAGCAUCCUAUUCCUACUACAUCAAACAAGUGGAAUCCAAUGUGAAAAAAAUUCUAGUAGGGCAAAAUUUCAUAAGGUUUCUAAAAUAGAUAUACACAUUAUUCAUAUAUAUGGAUACAGAAGCUUUACUACUACAGGUGAUGAGGGCCAGAGAAAGAACAUCAGAGAAAAAGGAGAGAUGUAGGGAUUGGAGAACAUCAACUAACUGACAUGGGGGCUCUGAAGAGAAAAUAUGAAAGUGAAACAAAUGAGGUCAACAUAAGAAGUCAUCAUACAGUUCAGCUGUUUAAACAUAGAUUUCUGUUCAGUAGACACCUAUGUGGGUCUCUGGCCAAAGAAGAAAGCAGUACCUGGGCAUUUGUAUUUUUCAAAAAAUUCCAAGAUAAUUCUGAUAUGCUCCUGAUUUUGUAAAGUGAUUAGAGGUUUUCCAUGGUACUUUUGGUGAUAUAGAGUCCUAUUAUUUUUCCCAUUGACCAUUCCAAGACCUUCUGCAUUUGCUUAGGCACAUUCCACCUCAGUUCACAUCCCAGGAAGCUGUAUCUGCCUUAGGCUCUGGUUGCCACCACCCACCCCACCCAUCCCCGGGGAGCAAGUGGUGGGCAAGAAAAAGUGUUGCCACCUUGUGAACACUUCCUAUAACUACAACUUGACCACAGGGCACUCAAGGCACCUAGAAUUCACAAGGCCUGGGGUUAUGUGAAUGACAGUUGACUUCAGGAAAUGUCCUGGGGUGGGUAUUGCAGAAAUAAAUUCCAGACACAACCGACUCUCAGGAAGUCAACCGCCACCAAUAAAUUUUCCUCACACCCCUUAAGGAAAAACAAAAUGCACCUAAACCUCCACCGCAAGAAACCAAACUCAGCAUCCUUAAUUGCUGCAGGAAUGUCAAUCAGAGCCACAAUGGGAAAUCAAAUCCAUCAGUCACAAUGCUCAUCCUCACACGUCUACAAAGAAUACACGCUGGUGAGAACCUGGAGGAAAAUGAAUCCCCUACACUGUAUGUGGGGGGAAAAAAGUUGGCAAUUGUCAGUGCAAUGGACACUCUCCGAAUACCUGAAACAAAAUUCUCAAGAGGCACUAAUGCUAGGACUUGGCAUCCCCACACCUGGGCCUAUAUCCUGAGAAAUUCGUCGAUCAAAAGGAACCUGCACCCUGACCAAGACUGAAGCACAAACUCUAAUAACCAAGACAGACAACCAACAAAAUCUCCAAGAGGUUAAAGCUUGUACCAAAUGUGGUCUAUAUAUACGAUGGACUAUUGUUCAGCCAUACAAAUCCACCACUGAAAUUAGGGAGUUCUGACAAUGGCCAUCACACAGAUAGACUUUGAAGAGUCAGACACUAUAGGAAAUCCAUCAGGCAGAGGAAGACAGUCUCUGAUGCACCUUCCAGGCAGAGUAGAAACUGACACACUAACACAUUUACAACCAGAAAAGAGUCUGAGAAUUCAACGCCCAAGAAAAGGUCCCCAAGGCAGGGUGCGGGGUGGGGGCGAGAGGUGGGAAGGGAGGGAAAAACCAGGAAGACAUGGAAUUCUGUAUCUGCAGUAGAUCAUCCUCUUCAUUUCUUCCUUCCUUCCUUGCACAUAUACACAGAAAUCGGUAUCUCUAACCUAUACCCAGAAAUUUGUAUCUCCAGGAGGGUAUCCAAAGAACUUAUCUCCCACCUUCACUCAUUGUAUACACAGAAAACUGAGUCUGAGGCGCAUAUUCCUCAAGGACCUGAUGCUAAGCCAUCUGCUCCACUUCUAGAGUGAAAAAUCUAGAAGAGAAUACAGAUCACCCCUAGAUACAUCAUACCUGAAUCAUGCAGCUGUACACUGACAACAGUCAUAGUAUUAUAAAUUGACUCUACUGCAACAUAGCAUGGGCAUGAUAUUAAAGAGAAGGGAAGAAAACCAGUGCUUACUUUCUUCACCCCGAUCCUGCUGACUGGGGCUGCGAUCCCAUCCUUGGAAGCCUAACCAGGCUUGGGUCCCACUGCUGGACUUGGGUGGCUUUGAGAUAGCCUGGCAGGGUGCUCUUCAUUGAACCCUUCUGAAGCGGCUGCUGUCUGCUUUGUUCUGGAUCGGACCAGAGUCCCCGCGGAAUACAGGCCUCCAGGGACUUGGGGGAAAAUAUUACCAAGGAGAUCAAACCAGUCAACCUUAAAGGAAAUCAAUCCUGAAUAUUCAU